rnacentral:rRNA from 1 species
GGGGAAUCUUGGACAAUGGGGGCAACCCUGAUCCAGCGACGCCGCGUGGGUGAUGCAGGCCUUCGGGUUGUAAAGCCCUUUUGACGGGGGCGAUGAUGACGGUACCCGGCGAAUAAGCACCGGCUAAUUCCGUGCCAGCAGCCGCGGUAAGACGGAGGGUGCUAGCGUUGUUCGGAAUUACUGGGCGUAAAGGGCGCGUAGGCGGCCGGAUCAGUCGGGUGUGAAAGCCCGGGGCUCAACCCCGGAACGGCACCCGAGACGGUUCGGCUGGAGACCGGGAGAGGAGGGUGGAAUAGCCAGUGUAGAGGUGAAAUUCGUAGAUAUUGGCUGGAACACCGGUGGCGAAAGCGGCUCUCUGGCCCGGUUCUGACGCUGAGGCGCGAAAGCGUGGGGAGCAAAC